CCCAGAGGCAUGCUGCACAGACUCCCCAGGGGAGAGUAAAUGUAAAUAUGUCAGAGUUUAUUGUGGCUCUUGAAAGAUGGCACAUGUGACUUACUGGAGCUGGUAACAAGAAUGGCAGCCUUAAAGUUUAAACCUACAUAUACAUCUGAGAAGACACUGAAGUCCCUAAUGAAUGUGUCAUCGGACAUGGAUUGACUUGAGUUCUCCACGUCAUCUAGUCUUUAGAUUCGUAGAGAAGAUUCUGCUCAAACAGCUGCUCCCCAG
rnacentral:lncRNA from 1 species